CCCUUAGAUGUCCUGGGCCGCACGCGCGCUACACUGAGUGUCUGAGAUAUGAGGCAUGCCUGGUCCGGCAAGGUCUAGGUAAUCACGAAAAGGCACAUCAUGCUUGGGAUUGAUUAUUGCAAAUUUUAAUCAUGAACGAGGAAUUCCCAGUAAGCGCAAGUCAUCAGCUUGUGUUGAUUACGUCCCUGCCCUUUGUACACACCGCCCGUCGCUACUACCGAUUGAAUGGUUUAGUGAGACCCUCGGAUUCGUCCCAGCACAGUGGGUUUCUGCUGAGCUGGUGCGCGGAGAAGACGGUCGAACUUGAUCAUUUAGAGGAAGUAAAAGUUGUAACA
rnacentral:rRNA from 1 species